ACAAAUUUGUUAUUCCAGAACAAAUUACCGAAAAUUUUAUUCUACUAAAAUAAAGAAGAAGAAUAAGAAGGAACAAUGCAAUAGAAAAUAAGCUGACGGAAUAGAAGAGAAGAAAUGUUAGGGGAUGAGAUCAGAGUUUUAUAAGAGCAAUAAAACAAUAAUCGAGUAUGCAUAUGAGGCAUCAGAGGGCAAAAGGCCGGAGAGGAUAAUUUUUAUUUAUUAUUUAGCGGUUUUUUUUUUGUCGAACAUCAAGAUGAGGGGUGAGAGGUGAGAGUGCGGCGAAUGCCUGGUGGCGAGUUUCAGCCCAGCUGAGAUCGGAGUAAGAGCACCGAGAGAAGAGUGAGAUGAGAAGCGAGACAGAUAAACAACAAAACAAAAACAACACCGAUACGAAAUACGUAUAACGAAUAAAGGGAGGAAUGAAACACUGAACACAGGAGAACAGCGACCCGACCCGACCGACCGGUAGCCCAGCCGCACGUAUAUAUCUUGCUUCGCUUCACCACACUGAUUUCUCGAGAAAAGAUUAAAAGUUGAAAUAAAAAUCAACUUUGUACCAAUGAUUGAAUUUGUCAGUCAAUAGUCCUGAUUGAAAAAGCGCCCCAAUUUUUUAGGAAGGAAGUUUGAGCAAAGAAGCAAACAGAGAAUUCAUGAACUUGUUGAAUGCGGCGCAAGAAGGUGCUGGUUGAGAGCCCAGAGUUGAGUAAUAACUGGAAGAAUCAUUAAACUGCGUGAUUUUAUAUACGCUGAUAAAAAUAUUUAUUUAUGAUAAACGUAAGCAAACGAUUAAAAUUCAUUGAAUAAUUUAGCUGCUUUAAAAUUCCAAGGUGAAUUUUUGACAAAGAAAAUUACAAGGGUUAUCCUCGCCUGGAUAUUUUUCAUCUCGAGGGGGUUUGGAGCGCCCGAGGAGGCGAGAACAGAGCAGCAAUUUGCGUAAUUGCGAUCUCUCGGUGCUCAAAAGAUCAGGCAUCGGUUGGCCGGUUUAGUUGUUGCUCGGAUGGAAUAUGGACGAGUCUUGAGCAGAGUCUUAACUUUUAACUUUGCAGAGCUCGAGGCGCUACUUCUUAUUCUUUAUCUCGAGUGCCCUCUUCUUCUUCUUCUUGCUCUUAUUCUUCUUGGUCUCAUAUUAUUCCAGCCAAAGUCAGUCUAGAGUCUAAAGCUGACUUUAUAACUCAUUUUUAAACCUACUACACUACUACUAAUUUAAUGAUAAUAACAACAAUAAUAACCAGCAACAAGUACUUUGGUUACUUAAAGUCUGCCGGCUCGUGCUACGUCAAUUAGCCUACACAGAAUUCACAAGAACUUUUAACACUAAAAUAAAUGAAAUAAAAUACCAAAAGAUAAAAAUGUUGACAGCGCCAGCUAUUUAUUAUCCUUUAGACUUUCGAAGUGAGAAUUCAAGUCAAGAAAUUGUUUAAGCAAGACAUCUCUAGUUGUCUGGGAAAUAAUUUCGCUUUUGGAUUAAGAAAUCUUAGGUAGAUAAAUUUAUUUUCAUCUACUGAUAAGA